UUGCUCAUUUGGGCAGCAUAGAUGCUAAAAUUGGAAUGAUACAGAAAUUAACCCAACCCCUGGACAAAAGAUGACAUGCAAAUGCAUGAAACAUUCCAUAUUUUC